GGGGUUGACUUACAUUGGGCAGU
rnacentral:siRNA from 1 species